rnacentral:rRNA from 1 species
AUGACCUCGGAUCAGGAGGA